CGGAUGUAUUUCGUUUACUGUUC
rnacentral:snRNA from 1 species